rnacentral:rRNA from 1 species
GACGAACUCUGGCGGCGCGCCUAACACAUGCAAGUCGAACGAGUGAGAGAGAGCUUGCUUUCUCGAGCGAGUGGCGAACGGGUGAGUAACGCGUGAGGAACCUGCCUCAGAGAGGGGGACAACAGUUGGAAACGACUGCUAAUACCGCAUAAGCCCACGGUGCCGCAUGGCACAGAGGGAAAAGGAGCAAUCCGCUUUGAGAUGGCCUCGCGUCCGAUUAGCUAGUUGAUGAGGUAACGGCCCACCAAGGCAACGAUCGGUAGCCGGACUGAGAGGUUGAACGGCCACAUUGGGACUGAGACACGGCCCAGACUCCUACGGGAGGCAGCAGUGGGGAAUAUUGCACGAUGGGGGAAACCCUGAUGCAGCGACGCCGCGUGGAGGAAGAAGGUCUUCGGAUUGUAAACUCCUGUUGUUGGGGAAGAUAAUGACGGUACCCAACAAGGAAGUGACGGCUAACUACGUGCCAGCAGCCGUGGUAAAACGUAGGUCACAAGCGUUGUCCGGAAUUACUGGGUGUAAAGGGAGCGCAGGCGGGAAGACAAGUUGGAAGUGAAAUCUAUGGGCUCAACCCAUAAACUGCUUUCAAAACUGUUUUUCUUGAGUAGUGCAGAGGUAGGCGGAAUUCCCGGUGUAGCGGUGGAAUGCGUAGAUAUCGGGAGGAACACCAGUGGCGAAGGCGGCCUACUGGGCACCAACUGACGCUGAGGCUCGAAAGUGUGGGUAGCAAACA